UCUUAACCAUAUAAGACGAGUCAUAGGCCCUGCACUCAUGAAGAUCUCCCUAUUCUGCGCGUCCUUGAAUACUCCAAAAGAUUUGACCUUUUCUUCAUUUGAGAGCUCCUCCAUCGAUUCCACAACAGUGAUGCAGUUCCUUAUUGAGCAAUCAUCAACCUUGCUUGCCUCCUCCCUCUUCUUUGCUUCCUCCUCCUCAGAUUGUCUUUUUCUCAUCUCCAAGUAACUUUCCAUCAUAUCAACAACAUCAUUCCUCUUAUUCCUCUUCGGUGUCUUUUCUACUCUCUCUCUCUCUCAGUAGAUUUGGUCUUCUUGACAUUCUUUUCUCCAUUAGCUCUUGAGGUGAUAGUAAUAUGGCUUCCCUGAUUUUCAUGCUCCACUGCAUUAUCUUCAUCUUGAACUUCAGUGGUCUCAUCAUCAUCAGCAACCCAAUUUACAUCAGGAAAAGAGUCACUUCUCUCAAGAUAUUCAUUCACUUGUGUGAGAGUAGCAUGUUGGAAUGGCUCAAUAGAAGUGAAAUUCAUGUUGCCCUCAGCAUAAAUUUACCAUCAUAAAGUUCACCCAAGGAUUCAAAGAGAGGAAAAGAUUUGACAAAACAAUUAUGCUCAAAAUAUCAUACUGUAAUUAUGUUUGCCCAAACAGCAUCAUCGGCAACAAUCAUGCACCGUUGAUUAUCCCAAGAAGCUCCACUCUGUUUCCUUGCCUCCUUAAGCAACCUAUAAUCUCGUUUUAACUCCUUCUCCUUAUCUUGGAUCUGUUGCUUAUUCAUGGUGACAUAGGGAUGUCUGUCACGAAAUUCUUUGACGACCUUGUUCCAUGCUUCACUUGUCCACCCGUUUUGGCACCGGUAAUGUGGGUUAUUGUGCUCAUGAAGUAAAUCAACUAAAGCCUUUUCUGGUCCCGGCUCUUUGGUGAUGCCUUCUUUUGUAGAUGCCUUUGUUGCUGCUGCAAUAGGCUUGCUUUCGGAGAUAGUCUUCCAAACAUCAUAACUAUAUUGCAAUAUUUUAUUGAAUGAGAAAAUACAAACUACGUUGCUUACUAUUAAUUUGUCCAUAUCAUAAAUGUUGAUUGCAUAAAUAAAUACAAAUAAUGCAAAACCAAAAUAUUAUCUAUACUAUUCUUGCUAGUUACGAACAUAAUCUUCCCACAUCUUCUUAGCAAUCAUAUCUCUAAUAUUAUUCCCACUGAUCAUUUGAUUGCUAAGAGAUGGCACAUCAUUUCGGUAUUCACUGUCACCUUCUGGUAGAUCGACAAAAUUAGUAGGUUCUAUAUUAUCAGGUUGGUUGUCCAACCAGCCCUCAUCACCAUUAAGCAACCGGAUCAUGUUGUGGAACACCGCAGCAGCUGCUGGAAUCCGCACUUGGUUCUUUAUCCGAUGGAAAGUGCCUACUUUCAGGAUGGGAAAUCGCUUCUUUAGAACCCCUAGAGCUCUCUCUACAUGGUUUCUCAGAAUGGCAUGGCGAUGAUUGAAUAACUCCUUGUAGUCUCUAGGUCUACGAUGACCACGUCCAAACUCCUUUAGAUGGUACCGAACACCACGAUAAGGAGUAAUGAACUAUGGUGUGUUGGCAUAACCACCAUCUACUAGAAAAAAUUUACCAUUUGGGACUUGAAAGCCACUAUUCAUUGCUGAUCUAAGGACCCUAGCAUCGGUUGCAGACCCCUCCCAACCACAUGAGAUAAAAGUGAAAUUUAGGUCGAAAUCACAAGCAACUAUCACAUUUUGGCUCAAAGUCCCUUUUCUGUUCCUAUAAGGAGCUGCCUUCUCUCCAUCUAUAGUUAUAGGAAUGUGAGUGCCAUCAAUAGCCCCUAUGCAAUUC
rnacentral:sRNA from 1 species